UCACCCUUAUGUUGCCGCUGUAACUACUCCUGUUGAUAAUCCACCUGUACCACAGCAACAACCACUACCUCGACAGAGAGCACCGAGGGCUAAGAGCCUAGUGAAGAAAGAGAAGGUUGAUCGUCAGUUUGAGGAGCCACCUGUGACUUAUACUCUCCUGUUCAAAAGAUUGAGGGAUCUGGGGUUAGUACGGCCAAGGAUAUUGAUUCCCGUGGAA
rnacentral:lncRNA from 1 species